AAGUGGACGAACCUCUGGUGUACCAGUUGUUUCAUCAGAAGCACCGCUGGGUAGCUAUGUUCGGAAAGGAUAAGCGCUGAAAGCAUAUAAGCGCGAAACCUGACCCAAGAUAAGAUCUCCCUACCGCAAGGUAAUAAGGGUCGUUGAAGACUACAACGUUGAUAGGCUGCAUGUGUAAGUAUGGUAACAUAUUAAGCUGAGCAGUACUAAUAUCCCGAACGACUUUAUCAAA
rnacentral:rRNA from 1 species